GACAGAGGAGGCGAGCGUUAUCCGGAGUUAUUGGGCGUAAAGCGUCCGUAGGUGGUCUGACAAGUCUGGGGUUAAAGCCCGGAGCCUAACUCCGGAUCAGCCCUGGAAACUGCCAGACUAGAGUAAGGUAGGGGUUGCGGGAAUUCCCGGUGUAGCGGUGAAAUGCGUAGAUAUCGGGAAGAACACCAGUGGCGAAAGCGCGCAACUGGGCCAUUACUGACACUGAGGGACGAAAGCUAGGGGAGCGAAUGGG
rnacentral:rRNA from 1 species